rnacentral:lncRNA from 1 species
UCCGACGACUCCUUCUCCACCGCCACCCCGACGUCCUCCUCCUCCUCCGCCGCCGCCAUCUUCUCGUACCUCUUCUUCCUGCUCGGCCUCCUCCUCGCCGCCGCCGCCGCCGACGACGACGACGACGACGACGACGACUUCCCGUGGUUGUUCGUCGUCACCGUCACCGGCGCCGCCGCCGCCGCCGCCGCCUUCCCGUAGUACGGGUACUGGUUGGUGGCGGAGGAGGAGGAGUACGUGGUGGUGUAGGUGGCGGCGGAGGACGACGAGAACGACGCGGUGGACGCCGACGAGGGGAAGAAGGAGGAGGAGUGCGAGCUCGUGCUCCUCGGCACCGGCGGCUUCAGGGCCGACGGCCGGAGAAACGACGGGAGGCUCAUCAGCAGCUGCCUCGGCCGGCGAGGCCGGCAGCCGC